UACGGAGGGGGCUAGCGUUGUUCGGAAUUACUGGGCGUAAAGCGCACGUAGGCGGCUUUGUAAGUUAGAGGUGAAAGCCCGGGGCUCAACUCCGGAAUUGCCUUUAAGACUGCAUCGCUAGAAUUGUGGAGAGGUAAGUGGAAUUCCGAGUGUAGAGGUGAAAUUCGUAGAGAUCCGGAGGAACACCAGCGGCGAAGGCGGCAUCCUGGACUGGUACUGACGCUCAUGAGCGAAAGCGUGGGGAGCGAUCCGG
rnacentral:rRNA from 1 species